GUCUACAGCCAUGCCACUCUGAACAAGCCCGAUCCUGUCAGAUCUCAGAAGCUAAGCAGGGUCGUGCCUUGUUAGUACUUGGAUGGGAGACCACCUAGGAAGACCAGAUGCUGUAGGUG
rnacentral:rRNA from 1 species